GAGACCCCAGCGCCUCCCGGAGCGGGACGCGGGGUGCGCGAACUCUUCGGAAGUUACUGUUUAUUUUAUCUCAUUUUCAUCCUCCUUGUAGUUAUAUUUUGGUUGUGCUUUAUCGCGCACGCCACGUGUCAUUGCAGCAGUGCCUGCGUGUGGUUUAUAAAUAGCUCCGUGUACACUGGGGACACGCUCGCUCAGGGGUGUUUCACUGUCUGGGGCGCGCUGCGGCCUCUCCCGGCCACAUUUAAGGAUCUGGAGCAUUAAAUAACAUUAAGAAUUAACAGAUGCCAAAGGAGUCGCAUUCCUUUUUCCGUGGGAAGGAGGUCAGUGCCGGCGGCGUGGGUGUCGCAGCAGGUAGAGAAACAUUCCCAGGAAAGGGGCAGAGGUGUGACGGUCCGGCAGAGGGGCAAAAAGGGGUUUGUCUUGCGGAUUAUGCUUUAUUUUAAUAUCUAGUCUUGGUAAUUGUAAUCCCGUACUCACUGGUCUUCCUGUUGUGUUGACCUGAAAGGUUCAUCUUAGCCAGAUUUUGGUAAACUGUUCAUUAGGACCAGGCCAGCUCAGCACUGAACCCAUGUUCUAUGUUUUAUGUGCUGAUGUUAGGUUUGUGGGUUUGGUUUUUUGGGUCUUUUUCAGUUUUGGGGGUUUUUUUCUAGAUGGCUAAGAUUUUGCUCAUGACUUGUGAGCACUGCACGGGACACCUUCUCGAUGCAUCUCCAUAAUCUCAUCCUGGAGCUUCUCCAGUUAUCCCUUCCUGCAGUAAUCAAAACUGAGUUUACUGUGAAGCUUUAGCCCUGAUGAUUGACAAGAAAGUAAUCUAAAGCGACCUGGUACCUAAACGUGAGCUUUCCUAGAAGAGAAAGAAAAGAGGUAGAUGUGGGUCCAGCUUGUUCACCUCAGUAGUUGAAUACUGAGACACAGCAACAAACACAUUGUUGAACUGCUGACAAACUGCUGAGUCUGAGGUUGCUUACAAAAUCUUGGAAUUGCUGAGAGAGUUUUAGUGGAAGAAGUACGCUUUUAUUUUUCCAAUCUGUCUCACUUUAAAUUUCUUAGCUGUAUUGCUUCCAUUUUAGAAACUCCUUAGAAGGGGUUGUUGGUAUUAUUUUUAAGCUUAAUCUCUUUGAAACUGGCUUUUGCUUACUUUAUCUGCACUGCUUUACCUUCGGGGCAUUGUUGCCUGUUCUCUUGAGGUGAAUACCUGUUACCUGUGAAACCUGAUACUGUUUCCUACAGAAGACUUUAACAAAAGCCCUAGUUUUUUCUUGCUUUUGACUUGAGGAUCCAUGCAUAAUCUCUGGCAGUGUAUGCAUGUUGCUCUACUUAGUUUGAAAGUGGAUGUACAUUACUAAGAUUUACGGAGUAUUUGGUUCUCACAUAAAAACAAAAUGCUUUUCAGAUGCUGUGUUUGGAAACAGAACAUACAUUCCUGUAAUGCCACUGAGGAGAAUCAAGCAGUUUGUUAGAGUGGAUGUGGGGAGUCAUCUUAAAAGCAUUACAUAACUCUUAACUCUUCUAGGGAGGGAAAGGAAAAAAAUUUACACUUUUUAGCCUUCAGGGGAAUUUUAUAUAUACAAAGUGUAAUUACUCAACUUGAAAUUUAACCAGGAAACUAGAAUUAACCACCUUCCUCUCACAAAAAAAUAUAACAAUGGUAAUAUACAACAAUCAUGAGUCUCAAUUUAAAAAGUGAGAGACCAUGAAUGAAAAGCCAUUAUUUCAUGUGCACUGUUGCUUACCAUUCCGAAUUCCUUUCUCUGGCGAUUGUGCUGCCACUCUAUGUUCAUCUUGUGUGCUCUUCUAGACCCAGAGGCAACACAAGUGGUUUUUGACUGAUAUGGAGGUUCUGCUAGGGAAUUUAAGGAAUCCUGCCCCUGCUCAUGGGUUCACGUGCAACAGCACCAGCAUAUGUACGUAGGCAAAUGCCCAUGAAGACUUACUUUUAAAACAACAAUAGUUCCAAAAUACAGAAAUACCCAAUCUGUAAUUCAGCUGUUAACUGUUCUGAAUUUGCAUUUCUGUCCACUUCCCCGUAGAAAAUCCAGCACUAAUCCUGUGUUUUAACUUCAAAUGUCGGUAGAAGUAUCAACUCUACUUAUGUGCUACCUGGAAACCCCGGCUUGCGUACUUCGACAGGUGAACCAUACGAUCCAGCAAAGACAUGGCUAUAGCACCUUCGGAUCUCUGUAGGGAUAUAAAAAUUUGUCUGUAAUUCACCUGAAUAACCAUGUUCUUCACAGACAGUCCAUACCCCAAGAGCAUGCACUGCCACAGGCGGCGGGCAGUCCGCAUGCCCCCGCGGCUGUAGCCGGCAGCCAUGGCCGUGCAGCACAGCCUUUUAAGGGAGAACAAUCUAUUCUGCCUUUGUCUCCUUCACUAAAUAGGGUGCUGCAGACAGAGACGCGCUCGCUAACUGGGUUUUUACUUCUCCGUGCAGUGCCUGAUGAGGAAAAUCCCCCUACUCCCACCAUGUAUUGGCGUUUCGGCUCCAGAUAAUAUUUUCUGUGUAUAAUAACUUGCCCAGUCUGAGGGAACCUUGUCGGCACGGCGUGAAUUUGUCCACCUUUAAUCAGCGUUCAGGCCUGAGGGCGGCUUCCCACCCCUGUGCACGGGUUGGUGUGCCGCUGCUGCCGCUCGGGAAUGGUUUGCUCUCUCCGCAGCUCAGCCAGCACUCCAUCAGAUUGUUUGGGAAGUCAGCGAGGCUGCCGGGUACCAGGAUAAAGUUCUUGGAAAGUCGUCACUGCACGAGGAGUGAGUACUGCACUAUGCGUUGCACGGAGGCUGCGGGCUUUGUUCGGGAACUGCGGGAUCAGUGGAGCACCGUGUAAUCUUCUGACAGUGCACACAGGAACGACAGUUACAGGCGGUCACCGAUUCGUUUGCUGCUUGAGUGCCAUAAAACAUUUUCAGAAAUGGAAGGAGAAAAGGCUCAAACUGCUAAAGCUACCAGUGCAGUGGGUGACCUGAGGAAAAGUUGGCAGACCUGGGCAGAGGAUCACAUUGAGUAUCAGAGGAAGAAUCCGUUCAGCAGUGAUGACAGGCUUGUGUCUAAACCCGCACAUACUCACAAAGGAGAUCCUACCUACGGGAGACCCCCUGAAGGGUCUCGGACAGAGCAGAGAGGGAAAGAUGCUCACUCACACGUGGGUAAGGAAGUAGAAGAGCUGUGCUUGAUCAUCCGAAGAACUGGAGAGGUGGGAGAAGAUGGACACGUGCGAGUGACAUUCGGGCAGCUGUUUGAAACAUAUGUGACUAUUUCCAAUAAAGUAGUGGGAAUCUUGUUAAGAGCCAGAAAACACGGUCUGGUUAAUUUUGAAGGAGAAAUGCUUUGGCAAGGAAAAGAUGAUGAUGUGGUCAUCACUUUACUACAAUAAGGCUUUGUCCUGGAAUGAACUUUGCUGUAUGGUUCCAUUUGGAAAAACAUCUAGAUACCAUCUUCACAGGUUUUGGUUACAGAAUUUCAACUCAGCUACCUACUGGGACACAAGCAGGAGAGGAAAUGGGUGAGAAGGAUAUUUUUAUAAAAAUGGUAGAGAUUUGAACAGAAAUCACAGAUUAUGAGCUACUCCAUCAUGCUGACAUUGGAUUGUCCUUAUUAUCAUCUACUAGCAAGUAUAUGCGAGUUCUUCAAAUAACUGCUGGCCUGCUGCUUCUACGUUGCUGAAAGUACAAAUUACUAACUUGCUAUCCUACACCACUGAUUGCUGCAGGUUGUGAAAUACUUACUGUGUGGGAGAAUGGGAUUUGUAGAAUGUGGAAUUGAAAACUCUUGAGGGAAUUCAUAUACUUCUUCAAACAAAGAGCCUGGUAUAUAGCAAAAUUUUAGGUUCAAUCUCACAUGGUUAAACUGAAUAAAUGGAAGUUAUUUUCAUGAAGUAGAUAGAAAUUCCCAAACUUACAAAAAUAUCACAGCAAGGAUACUUCAUGAUUCCUAAAUUAGUUGCAUCUUGCUUGGAUUUUGGACAGCUGCACUGAUUCUGGUAUUUAAUAGUCUAAUCUUACAAUCAUAUCUUCUCCAAACCUUCUGUGUCUCUUAUUAUUUUUGCUUUAUAUCUCACACCAUUUUUACCUUUUCUGUUCUUCUAAUGCUUCAGAAGUCCACAAAGCUCUGCAAAGCUCUUUUUGGUGAAUUCAGCCAUAUCCCUUCAGAGAAGGUAGGGUGCCACAAUGUAAAGAUGCAAAAGUCAGCAGAUUCUCUGUAUUGGGGCACCUGUGCAUUCAUAAGGGAAAAAAAGGCUCUUCUUUCACCAAAAUGUAGCAAUAUUUUUCACAAGAGGAGAGAUACUAUAGUACCAACUGCAUAUAGCAGCACAGUCCCAUACCUCAUUUACCUGCUUUCAGAGCACAGCUGUGAGCUCUUCAGAAAGAAAAAUAAAGGAUUGGUUAUAUAACAUAGUUGUAAUAGUGCUAUGAAAAGUAACCUGAAGCUGUAUUUACAAUAGUUCCCACCAAUAAAGCUGUAUAAUUAGAAUCUAAAGUUCUAAUUUUUAGCAGUGCAAAUUCUGUGUGGUAUUAACUAUACUACUUGAUGGGUCUUUAAGAUACUGUUCUUGCAUAAAAAGGAUAUCAAAAUUUAAUAUAAAUUAGGAACUUGAUAAAAGUGAUGUGUAAUUUUAUGCUAUUUAUAUAAAAGAACUUCUGUUGCAAAAAGCCUAAAAGAAUGGGGUUUUGUUUUGAUAUUUUCAUCCAAUGGGGAUUUGAAUCAAACUAAGUCUUUGGCUGAGGAUUUCAUUAUUUUCCUGCCUCCUUUUUUCUUUUUCUGGUGAAAGGACAAUGAAAAGAGGAAAAAAAAGGAAUAAAUUAAUGUGCUGAAAUAAGUAUAUCUGGGGAACAGGACAGUUAGAUGCAGGUAGAGAAUGGAUUUUAAUCACCACAUAAUUUUACCCCAUAGGAAAAGGGGGAAUAUGUGCUGCACCAGGCACUGUUGGUGUGCUCCCUUAGGUUUCAAACCUACUGCUUCUUUCUAAACAGAUCUACAUCUUGCAGCUGAAAAAGAGGACAUGUAGUUUGUGAUCUUAACAUAUUUAAAAUGCUUUGUUCUUUUUGGAAAAACAUUUCUUGCCAAAUGAUAUGAGCACACCUCUCAGGGUAUUUCAGCUCCUGUUAGAGGAAGUCUUUACAUGCAUUCAGAUUUCAAUACGAAUUGAGCUUUUUAUAGUGCAGAUAUGGAAUGAAUUUUGUUUAAUUCUAACAAUUCUUAAAUUCUCUCAGUUCUGCUGUAGUGUUAGCUCAAUAACUUGCAGGAAGCAGCAUCAGGCAUUUCAAGCAUCACCAACUGACUAAUGGAAUGGCACUAUCAGGAAAAAUAAUACAAUAAUAAUCUAAUGUUGGACCUUGUACAAAUAAUUCAUUGCAAGACACGCAUGUGAGGUAGUACAUAGCCUGAGCAUCAUAAGAUGCAAGUUCAGCUCACAUAAAUUUACUACAUUUUAAUUAAGGCUGGCUCAAAUAGUUAAAUAUCAGCAAUCCAGGCUGUCACUGCCAUGUAAGUGGUACAUGCUUGAGCACAUCUACAAGCACUUUAAGUACACCUCUGAUCAAAACAGAAGCAGAGCAAACCCUUAAUGACAUGGUCUUACCUACUUUAUAAGCAACUAAAUAAAAGCUUGCUCUAUUAUUUUAUUCUUAAUAGAACCAAGGAUUACUAUAUAAAAAAACUAUUAUUUAUAGAGGGAUUUUUUUUAAGUUACAGAGCUAUGUUUCCAACCUGCCAGCUUUAGAUGAGCAUUCUGGAAAAUGGGACUGAAAUCUUUCUGUGUGCCCAUGCAAUGAUUAUAAACACCGAGCUGCCAAACUGGCUCAGCACACAGGUUGACAAAUCCAGGCUUGUGCUUCCAGCAAUAGCCAGUAUUUAAAAAAAAAAGACUAAAAGAUAGAUAAUAGAACUGGUCAGCUUGCCCACUGGUACACUAGAAUAAAAAAUUACUCCUAAAGCCUGUAUAGUCAUGAAUGCAUUAUAUCUAACACACGACUCAGUUUAGCUGCCAGUUUUACAAAAUUAUGCAUUAUCUGUGAUUAGAUUAACAUCUACAGAUGAAAUAGGAAUUUAAACUUUUCAACAUGCAAGUUUAUUUUUUCAGCAGGCUCCCAUUAGAGUAAAUGGAACAGAAUUUAUUGUUUUUGCAAAAAUUGUAGCAUGUGACAGGUUUUAGUAUUACAGAUUAUUUGGAGUAGUAAGUAAACCCCAACCUUUUUAAAAGGUGUUCUUGCCCUACUAAGCAUCUUUCAGCUGUUUAAAUCUCUCCUAAACUUCACUUUGUGACAGAUUACCUCAGUGGUGUUUGCCCUCCUUCCACCUGAAGUCUGUAAACUCUGCAUCUGUUUUGGACUGUAUAUCAUAUACGGAUUAUCUGUGGUUUGUUUUGCCAAACACUGAAGGCACUGUCACCAUUUCAAUAAAUAUUGCACAUUAGUUUGAAAU